GAUGAACGCUAGCGAUAGGCCUAACACAUGCAAGUCGAGGGGCAUCACAUGAAGUAGCAAUACGGAUGGUGGCGACCGGCGCACGGGUGAGUAACACGUAUGCAACCUGCCUUCAACAAGGGGAUAACCCGUUGAAAGACGGACUAAUACCCUAUAACACAGGGGUCCCGCAUGGGGAAUAUUUGUUAAAGGACAACCGGUUGAAGAUGGGCAUGCGUUCCAUUAGCUAGUUGGCGGGGUAACGGCCCACCAAGGCAACGAUGGAUAGGGGAACUGAGAGGUUUAUCCCCCACACUGGUACUGAGACACGGACCAGACUCCUACGGGAGGCAGCAGUGAGGAAUAUUGGUCAAUGGACGCAAGUCUGAACCAGCCACGUCGCGUGAAGGAAGACGGCCCUACGGGUUGUAAACUUCUUUUAUACGGGAAUAAAGUGCCCCACGCGUGGGGUUUUGCAUGUACCGUAUGAAUAAGGAUCGGCUAACUCCGUGCCAGCAG
rnacentral:rRNA from 1 species